UCCUCGUCCUCCUUCGCGGCCCCCCGCCGCAAUGAACCCCCCCGCCGCGGCCGGCGGCGAGGAGCCGGGGGCGGCGGGCGGCUGCCGGGGGGCCGAGGGCGGCGGGGAAGCGGUGGGAGCCGCGGGGGUCCCGGAGGAGCCGGGGCUGGGCGAGGAGUCGCUGGAGGAGAAGCUGCGGAGCCUCACCUUCAGGAAGCAGGUGUCCUACAGGAAAGCUAUCUCCAGGUCAGGCCUCCAGCACUUGGCUCCUGUGCAUUCCCUCAACAUUGCAGUCUCCAAUGGACCUGUGAAGGAACCAAGGGCAGCAUUAGAGUGGACUGAAAAUGCUGUGAAUGGAGAGCAUCUGUGGCUGGAGACAAAUGUUUCUGGGGACCUCUGCUACCUGGGGGAGGAAAGCUGCCAAGUCAAAUUCUCAAAAUCUGCUCUGCGGAGGAAGUGUGCUGCGUGCAAGAUUGUGGUCCACAAUGCUUGUAUGGAGCAGUUAGAGAAGAUUAAUUUUCGCUGCAAACCAACUUUCCGAGAAGGGGGUUCCAGGUCUCCAAGAGAGAACUUUGUCCGACAUCACUGGGUGCACAGGCGGAGACAGGAGGGGAAAUGUAAGCAGUGUGGAAAGGGCUUUCAGCAGAAGUUCUCCUUCCAUAGUAAAGAGAUUGUGGCCAUCAGUUGUUCCUGGUGCAAGCUGGCGUUUCAUAACAAAGUCACCUGCUUCAUGCUACAUCACAUCGAGGAGCCGUGUUCCCUGGGGGCUCACGCAGCUGUCAUUGUGCCUCCCACCUGGAUCAUUAAGGUGAAGAAACCUCAGGUGGUCUCCAUACCAGGAGACGAGCCUGAUUGGGCAGGAGACUGGAGCCCCGAAGGGGAAAUGGGCGUCUCCUACCCCUAUUGGGAGGGUUGGCAGAACUCAUUAAAGACUUCAACGCGACGAAAGAAGAGAACAUCUUUUAAAAGAAAAGCCAGCAAAAGAGGCAAUGAAGAUAACAAAGGUCGGCCAUUUGUGAUAAAGCCUAUCUCCUCUCCACUCAUGAAACCAUUGCUGGUUUUUGUCAAUCCAAAAAGUGGAGGGAACCAGGGCACCAAGAUUCUCCAAACGUUUAUGUGGUAUUUGAAUCCACGCCAAGUCUUUGAUCUCUCUCAGGAAGGGCCAAAAGAUGCGCUGGAGCUGUACAGAAAAGUGCCAAACCUGCGGAUCUUGGCCUGCGGUGGGGAUGGGACGGUUGGGUGGAUCCUCUCCAUCCUAGAUGAACUGCAGCUCAACCCCCAGCCUCCCGUGGCUGUCCUUCCACUUGGCACUGGGAAUGACCUUGCCCGCACCCUCAACUGGGGUGGGGGUUACACGGAUGAGCCAGUGUCCAAGAUCCUGUGCCAUGUAGAAGAUGGAACCAUUGUCCAGCUGGACCGGUGGAAUCUCCAGGUUGAGCGCAACCCAGAUUUACCGCAGGAUGAGCUGGAGGAUGGGGCUCGUAAGCUUCCACUCAGUGUCUUCAAUAAUUACUUCAGCCUUGGUUUUGAUGCACAUGUUACACUGGAGUUCCAUGAAUCUAGAGAAGCGAAUCCAGAGAAAUUCAACAGCCGAUUUAGAAAUAAAAUGUUUUAUGCAGGGGCAGCCUUUUCAGACUUUCUGCAAAGAAGCUCAAAAGAUUUAUCCAAGCAUGUUAAAGUCGUGUGUGAUGGUACAGACCUGACUCCAAAGAUCCAGGAGCUGAAGUUCCAGUGUAUAGUGUUUUUAAAUAUUCCCAGGUAUUGUGCUGGCACAAUGCCCUGGGGAAACCCUGGAGAUCACAGAGACUUCGAGCCUCAGCGGCAUGAUGAUGGCUACAUUGAAGUCAUUGGGUUCACGAUGGCCUCACUGGCUGCUCUCCAAGUGGGUGGUCAUGGAGAGAGGCUGCAUCAGUGUCGUGAGGUGACGCUUUUAACAUACAAGUCUAUCCCCAUGCAAGUGGAUGGUGAACCUUGUCGUUUGGCUCCCUCACUCAUUCGGAUCUCAUUAAGGAACCAAGCCAACAUGGUGCAGAAGAGCAAGAGGAGAACAUCCAUGCCUCUGCUGAAUGAUAUCCAUAAAGUGCAGUCUGCUGACCUGAGGAGAGUCUCAGCUCCCCCUGAUUCCUUCACUGUUCCUCAUUCCAUCCCAGAUCGCCUGCGGAUCAGAGUGAACCGGAUUAAUUUGCAAGAAUAUGAGGGACUACUUUACGACAAGGAAAAACUGCGUGAAGCUUCCAUCCCCUUAGGAAUUAUAGUUGUACGAGGAGAUUGUGACUUGGAGACCUGUCGGAUGUACAUUGACCGUCUUCAGGAGGACCUACAGUCGGUAUCUUCUACUACACAGAGAGUUCACUACCAGGACCAAGAAAGCUCUUUCCCAAGAGUCCUUUCUGUUCAGAGGCUCUCUCCUAGAUGGUGCUUCCUAGAUGCAACUUCUGCUGAUCGUUUUUACCGCAUUGACAGAUCUCAGGAACAUUUGCACUUUGUGACGGAAAUUUCGCAGGACGAGAUUUUUAUUCUGGACCCAGAGCUGGUAAUGUCACAGCAGGGGGGGACGCCACCCGGAAUGCCUGAUCUGGUAGUGGAGCAGGCCUCUGGAAUAUCAGAUCGAUGGAACCCUGCAGUGCGAAAGAGGAUGCUGAGCGACAGUGGCCUCGGCAAGAUUUCCCCACACUACGAGGUACCUGACAAACAAAAGGACGCCAGCCAGACCCAUAUGCUGCAGUCACCCGUCUCUUCAGAAGAUCAAGCACUUUUACAGGCAGUCAUAGCUGGUGAUCUGCUGAAGUUCAUAGAAUGCUGUAAAAAAGGAGCCAAUUUGUUAAUCCAAGGACCCGACCAUGGCUCCUUGCUGCACCAUGCUGCCAAGACUGGGCACGGAGAGAUUGUGAAAUAUAUCCUGGAGCACGGUCCAUCUGAAUUGCUGGACAUGACAGACAGUGAAACGGGUGAGACGGCAUUACAUAAGGCAGCCUGCCAGCGCCAUCGUGCCAUCUGCCAGCUCCUGGUGGAUGCGGGAGCCUCGCUGAGAAAGACGGACUCCAAGGGUAAGACCCCUCGUGACAGGGCUCAGCAAGCUGGUGACCCAGAUCUGGCCUCCUACCUGGAGAGUCGACAGAACUACCAAAUGGUUCCCCAUGAGGAUCUGGAGACAGCAGUCUGAUGUCCGAAAGCGGCAAAGAGAAUCCUUGGAAAUAGCAAGGCUGCACCUGAGCACUUGGGCAUCGUGUGAGGAAGAAGCUGAUGGAAUCAACGUGUCUCUUGCUCUCAUGGAAAAUAUCUGAGGACAUGCCACCAGUUUCUAAGGGCUACUGAGUCUUGCCACGGAACAGUUAGGUUCCAUAAGAUAGCCCAUGAUGGAUGAGGUGGGACUCUCAAAGGUCUGUGGAAUCCAUGGGCCACGGAAAUUUACCUUUAUUGCUUCCAGCAAGUAGCAUGAACUUCUCCCAUGUUCAUCUGUACAUUUAUUAAAAAACAAGAAAAAGAAAAAAGAGAAGUUGGUGUGGGGGUACCAAACUAACUGGGACAUUAAAACAACAAGCCAGGCCCUCCUCCAUCCCUAUAUUUUCCUGCAUACCUUUAAUUCUCCCAUUCAUCUCACUUGUCAUCAGUUAAAUAGUACCUGUUAUCUCUGUGUUUUCACAAAUGGUCAGGCAGUAGCAGAAAUUUUGAGGAGCUCUGGAUGCCCUUAGGAAAAAACAUUUUUACCUGCUGUGUUCCCUCCCUUGCUGUCCCAUCAGAAGCUGCUUCCUCAGUGUUCAAUCACUGGGGAGUUUUCUCACUGUUGGAGAGAAUUCUGCCUAUUGCCUUGUUUUCUAGGGUGUGGGACACAGUUAAAUUUACAGCAGUAACAAAAUCUAAUGUCCUCAUGUUGCUGGGUAUAUGGUUACGGUAUUCUCAUGAGACAGGCGUUUGAUUGGAAAGGAGUUAUAUGGAAUAUAAAGCAUUGUAUGACAGAGCAGAAAUCUACCCCUAAGGUUUCUUGCAUCACCGUUGAGCUUAUAAUAACCAACUGGGUUUGCUCAGGUUUCAGACCAAUCUAAAAGCUGAUAGCUAUUUUUACUUCUGGCAAGAUGGGUUUUACGAUGAGGAGAGGAAACCUGGAAGGCUAUCCGUCAGCCAUGAACAAAUGAACAGGCACUGCCCUGGUCAUAUUGGGAAUAGGAAAACCUCCUCUGGCUGAGCCUGUAAACUACCUGAUUCCCCAAGGGAUGGGGAACAAAGUUCUAAAGAGAGGAUCUCCCCCUGGAGAAGGACAGGCAGCAGCUCUUUGCCUCAUUACUUUCUAUAGACUUGGAAACUUAAACUUGCUUAGCCACUAUACAGGCCAGUUGUGUCUACUGUACUCGUCUGUUCUCUGUUUUACCUCAAAGAUUAUAACCACAAAAGAAGAAAAAGCAGACAUACACAGACAUACGUAAAAUGUUCAUCUUCAGGUUUUCAAUCACUAAAGACAAUUCAGCUGCCAGAAAUAGCAGAGCUUCCACUUUGCUCAGUUCUUAUGAAGAUCCUCAUGGCCCACUUUUGGCAUAAUUCUUGCAAUAGAUUUUUGAAUUUUGCUUUGCUGUUUGUUUUGAAAGAUCCAAUGGUGUUUGGUUUCACAUGCAUCGCUAGGGGAAGGUCUCCAUUAGAUGGUGAUCAUCAGGAUUACAUGCAAUUUGGAAACCAUGGAAAUAACUCAGACAUGGAAUUGCUCAGUCUCCACUCAUGAUGCUGUAGCCUGGAUUUCUGACUACAUGAGAUGUCCCCUGCUACAUAAGGACCAUCACAUAGAAGCACUAUAGGCACAAGAAAAUAGAACAAAACCAAUGUUUGUUGCCAUCGAUCUUCCCAGUUGUAUUUGCAGAGAUGAAGCUGUUGUAGAUGAAUAGAUUUAUUUUUUUUUUCCUGGUGGUAUGGAAGUGUAAGUUCUGAUUUUAGCAGUAUUUUUUUUGUAUUCUUUUGCUCAUUUUUGUCUUUUUUUUUUUUUUAAACUUAUUAUUUUUCUGUGACAGUGACAUGCAUGGUAACGAAAAUCAGUAAUGCGCAACCUCACCUGGAAGGUAGCUAUUUUCUUUUCAGCCAACCCAGAUACCUACUAUGGGGUGUGUUUAUGUGUUCCAGUUUGUCAAGAACAUGUGGAGGAGAUCUGUCUGGGCAAAAACUAUGACAUGGGCAUGGUACAUUGGUAGCCUUAAGUAGCCUUAAUCUUGCAGGUGUUUAAUGGUACUCAAGAAAUUUAUGGAUGUACUGGAAACAUGAAUGCAUUGCAAUCACUCCAAGGACAAUUCUGUUCUUGCAUUUCCCUCCAAAAGGGAAGCAGUUCUCCUGCAGAUCUAUAUGAGUGUGUAAUUUUCUUUCCCCCAUUUUUUUGCUUCUUUUCCAUCAGACUUAACAUCCAUGGAGGAGUACUUUGUAAGAAUGGAGUUUAAAAUUCUGUAUAACAGCUCUUCUACCAUGUUGAAAGUAACAUUUCUUUUUCCAUUAUAUCUGUUCUUUUCCAUUCAUCAGACAUUAUUUCCUCCCUUUAUUUUCCUGCCUAAAUCUGAGCCAAAACAAUAUUGGGUUGUUUGCUUCCUAAUUAAUCUAAACAAUCAAAUGUGAGUACCUUCAAUUAUUUCAGCAGUCUUUAAAAGAGCUUACCAUAAAUCUGUGCCUUUCUGGAUACUUGUGAAGCUACAGGACAUAGUGUUACAGGGUUCGCUGCGGUGGUACUCAUCUUUUCAUUUUGCUUUCUUAGCAACAAUGCAGACAACUAUUUUUCUUAGUAAUGGAUAGCUACAGCUUUUAAAUCCCAGAGCUGCCUGCCAAGAUCGGUUGAUUGCAAUGGAGACUCAGUAAUGUGCCAAAAGUGACUUGCCAGCAUAUUGAUGAAGACCUGAAUUUUAUAUGGAGAAUGGGUCUUGAGCUUCAGAGCUUUAACUCCCUUUGGAAGUGCCAGAGGCAGCGCAUGGCUGCACUGUGGAAAUGCUUCAAGAGGAGUUAUAACCUAACCCAGCACUCAGGGCAAACAGAUUAUACAGAGGGGCAACAUGUCCCAGCAUUUGCUGAGGCAUUACCAAUGCCAACAGACUGCACCAGCUUUGCUUAGGCUGCCCAAAAGUGGGCUAUAGGUACCUGGGAAGUUCCUCACUUACAAUUCUCUUUCAAAGUUGGCUUGGGAGGGAUAAGCUACCCGGCAGUCAAAGCAGUGACUGUGGCUAAGUGUACUCCAAGCUAUGCUGUGGGGCACCGUGCUGCUUCUGACUGCCUUGCCUGAAGCCCUCUGUAGGUACCAGAGCUCAGGGGCCCCCCUUUCUUUCCCCAGCACAUUUCCAGCACCCCUGGCCAGGAUGGUGCCAACAGAAAGCAGCGUUCUCUUGCCCCCCGUAGUUAUGUGCUGGCGCAGUGCCCCCUACCUUGGCCAAGGGAUUUCCUGGCCUGCCUAUGGUGCCGCUACUGCAAAGGGGGAAAAUUCCUCCCUCAGGCCUUGAUCAUGCCAGUAACUUCAUUACAUUUGACUUCAGUGAUUAGGCAGGCUUAGAGCUGAAUAACCUUACUGUGUUCAGCCAUCAGAGUGCAUCUUGUCUCCUGCCUUAUUUAUAAGGUGCCACAUUCCAAUCUCAGCUGCAGUUUCUUGUUUCCCAGAUUUUUAUUUUUUUUUUAAGACAAUCUAUCCUAUGCAGUACACAUGUAUUCAGUUACCUAGGGAGUGGGGAAGACAAGCAGCUUGUUUUAAAAUUCCUCAUUCUGAUGUAGCACGUCUUCUUCUAAGAAGUCUAAGUGGGGGGUGCCUUGCAACAAAAGCAGGUUUUGACAUAAACACAUCUAUAAUUCUGAAAAGAAUUUUAAACUUAGCCCUUUAAAUCAUUCAGCUUAUGAUCCUGCCUCCCUUAUGUGGAGGAGAUUUGGGGAAUCUGAAUCUAAGGCAGCAGUGAUUCUCUUGACACAGACAUACAAAAGGUGAAUACCUGCGAGAGCAAAUGACAGACAAUCUUCAGAAAAUGGUUUAUAUUAUUUUGUCCUCAUCUACUAGAGACAGAACUCUGAUUUGGGAAUGCUAUUUCAGAGUUCCCUAGUACGCUAACAGCUCCAGCUCUCAUAUACAAAGUACAUGGAAGCUGUAGCAAUUUGACAUGCGAGAAAUAAGCACUAUUUGUUUUAGCAAUACAGUACUACAUAUGUAAUUGCUUCAUCUAGACCAGCCUCCUUUUGCGGGCAGAGUGUAACACCUGGCUCUUCAAUUAGUCCCUGUCUAGGAGGAUGCUUGAUGUGUAACCUACCACUCAGCAAAGUGUGCAUGGUGCCAAUCUGGUGCUCCAUUAUGACAAGUGCUGCAGCAAAUAGCUAACUGCUAAUGCAUGAAACACCGCCGCAAUUCAUUUCUUAGCCUUACCCUUUAUUUUAAUGAGAAAAAUGACCUUCUGGUUCCAACUGUCUUAACGACCUUCAAUUAUCACUUUUUUUUUUUUUUUUUUUUUUUUUUUCUUCCCCCUCAAGCCUGUGGCCAAGCAAAGGGAGAACACAGCCCCUGUUCCUACAGGUAUUCAGGAACAUAGGUCCUGUCUGGGAACUGUAGAAACCAGUUAGGUUUGUAAGUAUGGAGGAGAAACUCAAGAAGGUUUUGAGCAUGAUUCAACAGACAUUAACAAUUUCUACUUGGCUAGUUUGGCUCUAAUGGAUAGUCUGCCUUUUCUAGGAUUUUUUUUUCCUUUUCUCUUCCUCUCUCUCUCUUUAUUGUUAUUAAUUAUUAUUAUUAGCUAUUAACACAGGAAAUGAAAGAAGGCAAGAUUAGAAAAGUAAAACUAAGCUGGACCCUGGGAAUGGGGACCCUACAGAAUGGAUUCCAUAGUCAUUGCUAUUUUCUGGGCAGAGUUGCAGUGCUAGUUGUUGAAGAUCACUGUAAUGAGCAAUUUUGCACCAUAAUCAGACUUAUCCACUUUUAAUAAUGUGAGAAGGGGCUAUUUCUUCUCCAAGCUCACUGCUCCCAAUAUUUAUGUCAUCCUUAUGCAGGGGGCAUCUUGUUCCUGCCCCCACUGGGAUCACCACACAAGCUUCUGGGGCUCACUGUUCUGUUUGCAAGUCUUGAGGCCUCAUGAGGUGAUACAAGAUGC